GAUGAACGCUGGCGGCGUGCCUAAUACAUGCAAGUCGAGCGAACAGACGAGGAGCUUGCUCCUCUGACGUUAGCGGCGGACGGGUGAGUAACACGUGGAUAACCUACCUAUAAGACUGGGAUAACUUCGGGAAGCCGGAGCUAAUACCGGAUAAUAUAUUGAACCGCAUGGUUCAAUAGUGAAAGACGGUUUUGCUGUCACUUAUAGAUGGAUCCGCGCCGCAUUAGCUAGUUGGUAAGGUAACGGCUUACCAAGGCAACGAUGCGUAGCCGACCUGAGAGAGUGAUCGGCCACACUGGAACUGAGACACGGUCCAGACUCCUACGGGAGGCAGCAGUAGGGAAUCUUCCGCAAUGGGCGAAAGCCUGACGGAGCAACGCCGCGUGAGUGAUGAAGGUCUUCGGAUCGUAAAACUCUGUUAUUAGGGAAGAACAAAUGUGUAAGUAACUAUGCACGUCUUGACGGUACCUAAUCAGAAAGCCACGGCUAACUACGUG
rnacentral:rRNA from 1 species